UACAGAGGGUGCGAGCGUUAAUCGGAAUUACUGGGCGUAAAGCGUGCGUAGACGGUUAUUUAAGUCGGGUGUGAAAGCCCCGGGCUCAACCUGGGAAUUGCAUUCGAGACUGAAUAGCUAGGGUACGGUAGAGGGAAGCGGAAUUUCCGGCGUAGCGGUGAAAUGCGUAGAUAUCGGAAGGAACAUCAGUGGCGAAAGCGACUUCCUGGACCAAUACUGACGCUCAUGUGCGAAAGCGUGGGGAGCAAACAGG
rnacentral:rRNA from 1 species